rnacentral:rRNA from 1 species
UACGUAGGGUGCAAGCGUUGUCCGGAAUUAUUGGGCGUAAAGAGCUCGUAGGCGGUUCGUCGCGUCGGCUGUGAAAACCCGGAGCUCAACUCCGGGCCUGCAGUCGAUACGGGCGGACUUGAGUGUUGCAGGGGAGACUGGAAUUCCUGGUGUAGCGGUGAAAUGCGCAGAUAUCAGGAGGAACACCGGUGGCGAAGGCGGGUCUCUGGGCAACUCCUGACGCUGAGGAGCGAAAGCGUGGGGAGCGAACAGG